UACGGGGGGGGCAAGCGUUGUUCGGAAUUACUGGGCGUAAAGGGCUCGUAGGCGGCCAACUAAGUCAGACGUGAAAUCCCUCGGCUUAACCGGGGAACUGCGUCUGAUACUGGAUGGCUAGAGGUUGGGAGAGGGAUGCGGAAUUCCAGGUGUAGCGGUGAAAUGCGUAGAUAUCUGGAGGAAUACCGGUGGCGAAGGCGGCAGCCUGGACCGGCAUUGACGCUGAGGAGCGAAAGCCAGGGGAGCAAACGGG
rnacentral:rRNA from 1 species